UAGGGAAUCUUCCGCAAUGGGCGAAAGCCUGACGGAGCAACGCCGCGCGAGUGAUGAAGGUCUUCGGAUCGUAAAACUCUGUUAUUAGGGAAGAACAAAUGUGUAAGUAACUAUGCACGUCUUGACGGUACCUAAUCAGAAAGCCACGGCUAACUACGUGCCAGCAGCCGCGGUAAUACGUAGGUGGCAAGCGUUAUCCGGAAUUAUUGGGCGUAAAGCGCGCGUAGGCGGUUUUUUAAGUCUGAUGUGAAAGCCCACGGCUCAACCGUGGAGGGUCAUUGGAAACUGGAAAACUUGAGUGCAGAAGAGGAAAGUGGAAUUCCAUGUGUGGCGGUGAAAUGCGCAGAGAUAUGGAGGAACACCAGUGGCGAAGGCGACUUUCUGGUCUGUAACUGACGCUGAUGUGCGAAAGCGUGGGGAUCAAACAGG
rnacentral:rRNA from 2 species